UAACUGUAUUCCCCGCCGCAGAUGCCGUCAGACAUCCUGUGUUUUUCCAGGUCCUGUACUUUGUACGCAAGCACGGCUUGGAUUUGGAUUUGGAAUUGGAGUUCCGGUUGGUUUUUUUUGUGGAGUUUUGCAUUCUGGAAUUGCGGUUUGCAUAUUCCAAAGGCAACAAAAAUGGCCUGACUAAAGAUAAACCGAUGCUGAAAUGAAUGGAUCUACAGUCUGAUGUUUAAUGACUCUGGUAGUCACUGCCCGAACAGAGGUGCUGCUGUCUGCAGGCAAGCGACCUCAAACACCUGUCCCGACCACGCCUGUACCAACCACACCUGUACCGACCAUGCCUGUACCAGAUUCUGGACUCACUACUGGAGCAAGAGUGGGAUUGGGAAUCUGAAUUCUUGUUUUUGCCGUUGCUAUAAUUACUGGUUUUCCGAUCUGAAAGCGACAAAGAUGGUGAGUUCUAGAAUGUUCCACAGCUCCCGUGGCUAAUUCUAGUUUUGUAUUAUUACAUUUUAGUGUUGUGGAAAUAUUGUAUACAGCGAUACACUUCGAGCUGUGAGGGAUGCUUCAGUGCUGCAUUAUUCAGUCACUUCCAGCUUGUUGUCACCCUCGAGCUGCUGAACUGACGGUGAAGAGCAACAAUGUGCGGCUCCCUCUAUCACACAGACACUCGCCAAUUCUCUGUACCAAACAACUCACCAGCCGACACCUAAAAUCCCCUUGGCCUCUCUCGUCUGACUUUUCUCCACCCUCUGAUCCUUGCUCUGUUCCCCAGUCACUGAUUCCAUCAACCCCCCUGUCCACUGAGGCUGAACCAGAGCUGAAUUUCCGACCCUAUUUCCUCUCCAUCACUAAGACUACCUCCCUCCAGCUCUGUGACAUCCCCUGUCUCUGACCCUGUAUCAGCUCAUCUGCUGCUCAAACCCUGCAACAUAUCAUUGUUACCACUCACAUUGACUAUUCCAAUGCUCCCUGAGCCCGGAUACCCAUCAUGGACCCUCUGUCAACUUUGGCUCAUCGAAAACUCUGCUGCCCCAUAUCCUAACUUACUCCAUGUCCUGUUCACCCACCACACCCUCUGCUCACUCACCUACAUUUAUCCCCCUCUUCAAAUUCCUCUAUGGCCUCAGCCCCUCCUUAACCCUUUUAACUCCUCCUUUCCCGACAGCCUUUGAGGUGCCUGUGCUCAUCUAUCUGGCCUCCUGACCAUCCCCGGACUUCCAUCACUACACCUUUGGCGGCUGUGAUGUCAGCUGCCUGGGCCCUGAGCUCUGGAAUUCCCUCCCUAAACCUCUCCUUUUCAGACCCUCUUUAAAACUGCUUGGGGGCAGCCACCUCAAAACUGCAAUGGGGAGAGGUCGCUGUCUGAGACCUUUCAGCCAGAGUGCACCAAGGGUCUGGGAAUUGUAUAGACCCCUGGGGCUAUAUGACUCACAUGGAAUGUACACAGUGAAUACUAAAUGUGUCAUAAUUCUACUGAACCACCUCAGAGUGACAUGAUGUAUGUCGAUAACUUGAAUAGCUUUGCACUGUCUGACUCUCUGUCGUGACCAUAUUGAAAUGUCUGUGAUAUUGAUUCUAUUGAAAGACCUCAUGACCCAUGUGGAAAACUGGAACAUGAUUGCACUUCU